GCCCGCUCCACUACGUCUCCCACUAACACUGCUGAGUGCUGCCUGCUCUUUGACGACUCAACCUCGAAUGCCCGUUAUUUCUAAUUUUCCAUGUUGCCGUGAUCAGUGUGAUUACACUGUUUCUAUGGCGUGGAAACCCAUCUUGAUCAAGCUCAAGGAUUUGCAGAAGGAUCCCUUACAUUUGGCUCAUUUGAUGGUGAUGGCUGCUGGGGUCUAUAGCAAUUCGUUGGGUUAUCGGGUUUAUUGGUUUCAGUUUUCAAGUUACUCCUUUCUAUAAUUUUAUUCCUCCAAAUCUUCUUGAUUCAAUUAGGAUCAUGAUGCAUCAUGGUUUUAUUGAUGUGUUUUAGGAUUUGGCUGGUGGAGGCUGCAGUCCGGAAUUAGAAUGGGUAGAGCUUCUGCUUUAUUGGUUUCCACUGCUUUCAAACUUUUUUCUUUUACUUGCCUUUUUGGCUGCCUAGUGCCUACUAUGAUCUAAGUUAUAUUGAUUUGUGGUGGUGAUGAUUUACAAUAGUUUUUGUUCCAGGCUUUAUUGGCUUCACCGUUUCAGUGAUCAACUCAUUCCUUCUCAUUUUAUAUUCUGCUUCCUUAUUUUGGGCCACGUCUUAGAUUUCAGUGGAUUAAGUUUCCAUUGCUCUGUUUUAUGCUGUUGGUUAUGGUUAGCUCCAUGUGCUGUGGCUUUUUUGGUUUCCAAGCUGAACUGUCUUCUUAUUUUCAUAGUAUUAUUGUUGGUGUAUUUUGGCUGAUAGUUUGGAUAGCUGCAACUGCUGGACAGGACUUAAAUUGUGUGUUUCAGCUUUAUUUGGUUUCGGCAAUCAACUUGUCCUUUCUUUAAUUAUUUAUGAGUCCAAUCUGGGAAGAAAUUUUAAACUUAGCAUGCAGUCAAGAGAUUGUUGAAGAUGAACUGGAACCUUGUGGUCCAUCUUGGUGAAGCUUAUUCUUAUGACUAAAAUUUGGAAAACAUAUUGCUAUGGAAAGCUUCUAUAUAUUGGAACCGAAGAGUAGCCUCUUAAAUGAAGAAGUAUAUGAAUUGUAAUUAAAACUGAAAAGUUAUUCAGACCAUACAGUAAAUAUCUUGGCGAAUAUGGGUAGAGGUCAUGAAGGGCAGAGAAAUUCAUUGUUUGGUCUAUGAUCCUAGAGGCAGAGAUCUCUUCUGCUGAGCUGACAAGUACAAUGGAAAAGCUUUCGAGGAACAUGGAGCAGAUUGAGGGUCAAGUUGCUACUGUCCAAGGCUAUACUGUAUAUAAUUAUGGUGAUGGAUGAUGAUAUGCCUGAGGAUAAGGACGAGGAAGAACACGAAGAUGAGGAAGUAGUUUAUAAGGCCACAAUUUUAAUAUUUUGAUUUGGUAGUAUCUUUUAGUGAACAUGUUUAUGUUGUUGUUGUCUAUUUAGUAUAUUGAUGUUGGAUAUUGGUUAAUCAAUGCUACAUCUCCAUAUAUUUUUUCUUGGAAUAAA